UUUAAUAACAAUUUUCAAAACACAGGUAUGGUUUUGAUUUUCCUAAUGGCUACAUGGCUAAUGUUGAUUAUCAUGUUGUAAAUGUUUUGGCAAAAAUACAUACCAUAAUGCUAAAUAUUUUUCAGUGUCACAAAGAAGAGUAGCCCGUAGUAGCAGGACAAAUGUUGCAAAGGAGGAUGCUGCUGCUACUACAGUCCCAUCCAGACCACACCUUAGUCCGCAAAUGCGCACAGGACAACCAACAUCCAGCCGCAAACACGUGGCGUUGAAAAGACCACGGCCAGAUCUCCCGAGGGCCACAUCUGCAUCUCCCCCUCACAGACGCAUCUCUACUGUGUCCUCAAGGCCACCAUCACAAUUACUGGCACCUUCCCCAACACGGGAAGCAGAAUCUCCUCAUCUGGCUGAUGAUGGCAGCAUGCCCACGGACCAGCAGACACUGCAAACUGAUGCCACGUUUGUUCUGGAUCUCCGCCCAUUACAGACAACGCAACCUAGCACGGUACCUGUGGCCCCGCCUCCACAACAAACAAGUCCGCAACCAAUAAUGAGCCCAAGUACACCACUGGCUCAAACUGAAGAGCAGACAUUUUGGGCCAACUGGGCAAACCACCAGAGGCUCAAUUCAGAGUGUCUCCAAAGACAAAAUCAGCUGCUGGCAAGUCUGCCACAUUACAUGCCACGCAUAAGUCGAAAUCUCAGCAGAGAACAUUUGGAAACCAGUCGUGUGGCGCCUUGUCUGGAGCAAAUGCGGGCAGAAAACAGCACCAUGAUGACCACUUUACAGCGAAUUCUGGAUGAACAAAUGAGGCAACACCAAAACUACCUGCAUCUCCUUGAAAGGAACAAUAGCCUUACAGAAAGUCUGGGUAGAAUUAUAGAGAAUAACACGGCCUCCAAUAACCAAUUAAAUGCUACACUCACUAACUUAAGCCACAACAUAAGUGCUUUACACUCCCAACAAGCGAGCACUAGCUCAGGAACUACAACUCCAAUAAAUACCCCAGUGACCUUCCCAAUAAGGAGGUCAAGCAGAUCAAGAGCUCAUGUCCCUGGCCCCACCUCUGAAGCCUCCAAGGCUACACGGAAAAAAUAAAGCCAGCCUCUGCAGAUGGCAGAUGCAUAAGUGGGGUUAACACUGUCUGUUGACGUUUCGAA